GCCUAGAGCAUAUCCUAAGAAUAAAACCUAGAACGCACCCGAUCUUGGAAACUAAGCAGUCCUGGGCCCGGCUAGUACCUGGAUGGGAGACCGCCUGGGAAUCCCGGGUGCCAUAGGCC
rnacentral:rRNA from 1 species